ensembl:snRNA U6 U6 spliceosomal RNA
GUGCUCACUUCAACGGCACAUAUCCUAAAACUGGAAUACUACAGAGAAGAUUAGCAUGGCCCCUGAGCAAGGAAGAAAUGCAAAUUCAUGAAGCACUUCAUAUUUUU